rnacentral:rRNA from 1 species
CACGGGGGGAGCAAGCGUUGUUCGGAAUCACUGGGCGUAAAGGGCGUGUAGGCGGUCAGGUAAGUGUGAUGUGAAAUCCCUCGGCUCACCCGAGGACCGGCAUCGCAUACUGCUUGGCUUGAGUACGGGAGAGGAUGUGGGAAUUCCUGGUGUAGCGGUGAAAUGCGUAGAUAUCAGGAGGAACACCGGUGGCGAAGGCGCACAUCUGGCCCGAUACUGACGCUGAGGCGCGAAAGCUAGGGGAGCAAACGGG